CACCUCUAGCAUUUCCAGUAUUAGAGGCACUGCCUGCCCAGUGACAUCUGUUUAAACGGCCGCGGUAUCCUAACCGUGCAAAGGUAGCAUAAUCACUUGUUCCCUAAAUAGGGACUUGUAUGAAUGGCCACACGAGGGUUUUACUGUCUCUUACUUCCAAUCAGUGAAAUUGACCUUCCCGUGAAGAGGCGGGAAUGACUAAAUAAGACGAGAAGACCCUAUGGAGCUUUAAUUAACUGAUUCACAAAAAACAACACACAAACCUAACCUUCAGGGACAAGAGAACCUUUGACUGAAUCAGCAAUUUCGGUUGAGGUGACCUCGGAGAACAAAAUAACCUCUGAGUGAUUAAAAUCCAGACUAACUAGUCGAAAUAUACAAUCACUUAUUGAUCCAAACUAUUGAUCAACGGAACAAGUUACCCUAGGGAUAACAGUGCAAUCCUAUUCCAGAGUCCAUAUCGACAAUUAGGGUUUACGACCUCGAUGUUGGAUCAAGACAUCCUAAUGGUGCAACCGCUACUAAGGGUUCGUUUGUUCAACGAUUAAAGUCUU
rnacentral:rRNA from 1 species